AUGCCAUGAUGAGGACAUUUACAAUGUAACUUCUUGAAAUGCUCUUAAGCCUCAUAUAAAGACUCGUCAUCUAAUUGUUAGAAAGUUGUGAUCUCGUUCCUCAACUU
rfam:Gossypium hirsutum cultivar TM-1 chromosome 1, whole genome shotgun sequence